rnacentral:rRNA from 1 species
UACAGAGGGUGCGAGCGUUGUCCGGAAUCACUGGGCGUAAAGCGCGCGUAGGCGGCUUUGUAAGUUAGAGGUGAAAGCCUGGAGCUCAACUCCAGAACUGCCUUUAAGACUGCAUCGCUAGAAUCGUGGAGAGGUGAGUGGAAUUCCGAGUGUAGAGAUGAAAUUCGUAGAUAUUCGGAAGAACACCAGUGGCGAAGGCGACUCACUGGACACGUAUUGACGCUGAGGUGCGAAAGCGUGGGGAGCAAACAGG